UACCAACUCAAUAAAUAAGGUUUAUUCACCCCUGUCAACUUGUUCGUUGAGAAAUUUACUUUUAGACUGGAAACCAAUUGGAACCAUCUAUGAAUUGACUUCAUACAUUGAAAAUUUUCCACACAAGCCUUGCCAAUAAAAACAGUGGCAUCGGCAUAUUGGAGGUGGGAAACCACGAUAUCCAAAUUACCCACCUUGAAACCUUCGGAAAAAAAACACCAAGGAAAACCGUCUUGAUGAUGAUGAAUACGAGUCACUAAGUGUAUAAUUUGCAUAACCCCAUUGGAUGUUGUGUGUAUGUAUUUAAAGGUGCAAUUUGUUAAACAUGUCGUACGUGUUUGUUCUACUAUUGUUAUACCUAUACAUGAUUUGAUCAUAACUCACUCUUUGUUGUUUGAGUUUGGCACUUGUAAUGGACACAUAUAAGCUGGAUGAUUAAGAUGAAGUCAAUGUGCUGGUGUCUAACAACAAUAUGUUUAUUCACUCUAAUAUGUAUUUAUGAUGUUCUACUUAUGAAUCAUUAUCUUUCAUAUGUAAAGUCUUUAGAGUAAAGCAAUGAGUUUAUGUUUUGAAAGGUCGAUAAUGUGUUUAUGUUUUGAAAGGUCGAUAAUGUGAAUAAGUUCUAUACAAGUUAUUUUACUGGUGUCUUCAUUUAAUAUAAGUUACUUUUAUUAUUAU
rnacentral:lncRNA from 1 species